GUCGAACGGUAGUAUGGUGCUUGCACUAUAUGAGAGUGGCAGACGGGUGAGUAACACGUAGAUAAUCUACCCUUGUGUUGGGGAUAGCUUAUGGAAACAUAGGGUAAUACCGAAUACGGUCUUAGAAUCGAUAGGGUUUUAAGAAGAAAGGUGCUACGGCAUCGCACGAGGAGGAGUCUGCGGUAGAUUAGCUAGUUGGUAAGGUAAAGGCUUACCAAGGCGACGAUCUAUAGCCGGCCUGAGAGGGUGAACGGCCACACUGGGACUGAGAACGGCCCAGACUCCUACGGGAGGCAGCAGCUAAGAAUCUUCCGCAAUGGACGAAAGUCUGACGGAGCGACGCCGCGUGAACGAAGAAGGCAGAGAUGUUGUAAAGUUCUUUUAUCAGGGAGGAAUAAUGAGAGGAGGGAAUGCCUUUCAGAUGACGUUAACUGAUGAAUAAGCCCCGGCAAAUUACGUGCCAGCAGCCGCGGUAACACGUGAGGGGCGAGCGUUGUUCGGAAUUAUUGGGCGUAAAGGGCGCGUAGCGGUUUUGCAAGUCUGAUGUAAAAGGUGUGGGCUUAACCCGCACAAGCGUUGGAAACUGUAGAACUAGAGUAGUUGAGGGGGAGCUGGAAUUCCUAGUGUAGAGGUAAAAUUUGUAGAUAUU
rnacentral:rRNA from 1 species